AAACAUGUCUUUAAGAAAAUAAUUUUAAGUYUAAUCUGCUCCAUGAUUAAAUUAAAUAGCUGCAGAAUUUUAACUGUACAAAGGUAGCAUAAUCAAUAGUUUUUUAAUUAAAAGCUGGAAUGAAUGAUUUGAUAAGGUAAAUAUUGUCUCAAUUUUAAUAAAAGUAUAAUUUUUUUUUUAGUUAAAAAACUAAAUUAAUUUUAAAAGACGAGAAGACCCUAUAGAUUUUUAUAUUUAAAUUUAAAAUAAAUUUAAAUUAUUUAAUAAAAUUUAAAUUAUAAAUAUUAAGUUGGGGUAAUUAUUAAAUUAAAAUAAUUUUAAUAAAAUUAAAACUUAAAUUAAAGGAAUUUUGAUCUUAAAUUUUAAAUAUAAAGAAUAAAUUACCUUAGGGAUAACAGCGUAAUUUUUUUGGAGAGAUCUAAUUGAUAAAAAAGUUUGCGACCUCGAUGUUGAAUUAAGAAAAAAUAUUAAUGGAGAAAUUAAUUAAUUUUAGUCUGUUCGACUAUUAAAAUCUUACAUGAUCUGAGUUCAAACCGGAGA
rnacentral:rRNA from 1 species